GCCAGCAUGGUGCAUUGGUUUGAGCAUUGGACCACAACUCUAGAGAUCAGGGUUCAAUUCCCUGCUUGAGCA